UGAGUGCAUAUCCACACCGGGCGAGCUUGAAAAAUAUGCCCGGCCACGGUGGGAUUCGAACCUACGACCUUUGGAAUACUAGCCCAAUGCUCUUCCAACUGAGCUACGCGGUCAGGACGGUUCGAGUAAGUAAUAUUUCGGAACAGUAUCUAGUUCCUUCAAUACCAAUGUGUUCUAGUAAUAUGAUUUUUUUCUGUGUUGGUGUUGUGUACUCAGGUGAAUAAUAUGUUUGCGAUGUUACUCUGAGUGAAAAUAUGCCCGGCCACGGUGGGAUUCGAACCUACGACCUUUGGAAUACUAGCCCAAUGCUCUUCCAACUGAGCUACGCGGUCAGGACGGUUCGAGUAAGUGAUAUUUUGGAACAGUAUCUAGUUCCUUCAAUACCAAUGUGUUCUAGUAAUAUGAAUUUUCUGUGCUGGUGUUGUGUACUCAGGUGAAUAAUAUGUUUGUGAUGUUACUCUGAGUGCAUAUCCACACCGGGCGAGCUUGAAAAAUAUGCCCGGCCACGGUGGGAUUCGAACCUACGACCUUUGGAAUACUAGCCCAAUGCUCUUCCAACUGAGCUACGCGGUCAGGACGGUUCGAGUAAGUGAUAUUUCGGAACAGAAUCUAGUUCCUUCGAUACCAAUGUAUUCUAGUAAUAUGAAUUUUUUCUGUGUUGGUGUAGUGUACUCAGGUGAAUAUGAUAUUUGUGGUGUUACUCUGAGUGUAUAUCCACACCGGGCGAGCUUGAAAAAUAUGCCCGGCCACGGUGGGAUUCGAACCUACGACCUUUGGAAUACUAGCCCAAUGCUCUUCCAACUGAGCUACGCGGUCAGGACGGUUCGAGUAAGUGAUAUUUCGGAACUGAAUCUAGCUCCUUCGAUACCAAUGUAUUCUAGUAAUAUGAAUUUUUUUCUGUGUU